AUGCGGCAACCACCAGGAUAUGAGAAUCAAAGCACACCACAGUAUGUAUGUAAGUUGGACAAGGCUUUGUACGGUUUGAAACAAGCCCCACGAGCUUGGUAUUCCAGGUUAAGCAUGCAGUUACAAAAUCUUGGGUUCACACCAUCUAAGGCAGAUACUUCUUUAUUCUUUUAUAACAAAGGGAAUAUCACUAUCUUUGUGCUUGUUUAUGUUGAUGAUAUAAUUGUUGCUAGUUCAAGCCCAGAUGCCACUGUCUGUUUACUUAAGGAUCUAAAGCUAGAAUUUGCUCUCAAGGACUUGGGUGAUCUUCACUAUUUUUUGGGAAUUGAGGUAAAGAAAAUUAAAGAUGGUAUACUUCUCUCCCAGGAAAAGUAUACUAAUGAUAUUCUCAAAAGAGUGGGAUUGGAGCACUGCAAGCCAGUAAGUACACCAAUUUCUACCUCAGAAAAACUUACAGUUGAAUGUGGAGAAGCCCUUGGGUCAGAAGAUGCAACAAAUUAUAGAAGUGUUGUAGGUGCUUUACAGUAUUUAACACUUACACGUCCUGAUAUUUCCUAUUCAGUAAAUAAGGUCUGCCAAUACUUGCAUGCACCCAGAACUACUCAUUGGACUACAGUGAAGAGAAUCCUUAGAUAUCUCAAAUUUUCAGAAGGACUUGGGCUCCAGAUUACCAAGUCCUCUUCUAUGUUUGUUACUGCUUACUCUGAUGCUGACUGGGCAGGAUGUGCUGAUAACAGAAGGUCUACAGGUGGUUUUGCUGUUUUUCUGGGAACAAAUCUUGUGUCUUGGAGUGCAAGAAAGCAAGCAACUGUUUCUAGGUCAAGUACGGAAGCUGAAUACAAGGCCCUAGCAAAUGCCACAACUGAAGUAAUGUGGAUACAGACAUUACUCUAUGAGCUUGGAAUCAAAGCUCCACAGGCUGCAAGGUUAUGGUGUGAUAAUAUUGGUGCAACCUACCUCUCAGCCAAUCCGGUCUUUCAUGCAUGCACAAAACACAUUGAGGUUGAUUUUCAUUUUGUCAGAGAAAGAGUAGCUCGGAAGCUACUGGACAUUCGGUUUAUACCUACUGGAGAUCAACUUGCUGAUGGUUUUACAAAGCCUCUUACCAUGAGAAGGUUGGACGAGUUCAAGUACAAUCUCAACCUUAGUAAAGUUUCAUAA
rnacentral:rRNA from 1 species